AAGGAGGGGGGAGCCCAGUUAUAAUGGAAGCUUCAAUUUAUGCUUUAUGAACAAUGCCAGCAUCAUCAUUUUAAUGUUGUCCAUAUGGGCUUCUAAUAAUAGAUAAGAGAUUACACUUGUAUUGUAUAUCUUAGAGACAUUUAAAAUCUUGAUAGUGAAAGGCUGAUUUCAUUGGCCCCACAGUUAAAGGAAAGCAGACCCUAAUUAAAAGAAUUCUGUUCUGAAUUAACUAGUUUGACAUGUGCUAAUUGACAGUUCCUGUGAAAUGGUUCUAAUUAAAGUCAAUAUGUCUUUUUCAAUUAAAAGGAAAUUAAGAAUAUACUAAUAUACAUUAACAACUUAAUCUGCCUUCAAUAUCCCAUAUAUCAGCAGCCUUAAUGUUAUUGGAGAGCCAUCUGACAUAUAUCUUCCACUGUUUGGUUGCAAAGUCUUAUUACUCCAAAAGAACACCAACCAUAUAUGAAUCCCCUUCUGCAAGGAGAAAGCUGGAUUUUGCUCUCAUUUCUGCAGACCCCAAGUGCAAGGAUGAUUGAAGGUAAACCCACGUUUCUUGACAGUUAAGGAAGCAAACUCCAGAACAGAAGCAAGUAGGAACAGGGGCGAAAUCAUUCGUGUAUCCCCUGCUUAUAUAAACCACCUCCUCCAAAUGAAGUUGUUGAUUCAAGCUAACAAAUCUGGAUUACAGCCUCAGGACCAUGUAAACAAACAACUUGAAGAUUAUAGCAAGCAUAUCUAUGAAGUUCAUUAGACUUCAAUUCCCAUCAUCCUUGACAAAU